CACUCUAAUGAGACUGCCGGUGACAAACCGGAGGAAGGUGGGGAUGACGUCAAGUCCUCAUGGCCCUUAUAGGUGGGGCUACACACGUCAUACAAUGGCCGGUACAAAGGGCUGCCAACCCGCAGGGGGAGCCAAUCCCAUAAAACCGGUCGUAGUCCGGAUCGCAGUCUGCAACUCGACUGCGUGAAGUCGGAAUCGCUAGUAAUCGUGGAUCAGAAUGUCACGGUGAAUACGUUCCCGGGUCUU
rnacentral:rRNA from 1 species